rnacentral:piRNA from 1 species
UGAGCAAUGCACUUUGCCUAUGCUGGGGAGC